GGUGUGGGUAGGAUUAGGAUGGGGUUGGAUGGGGUUGGAUGGGGUAGGAUAGGGUAGGAUGGGAUGGGGUGGGGUAGGAUGGGGUUGGUAGGUAUGAUGGGGUUGGAUGGGGUAGGAUGGGAUGGGGUUGGAUGGGGUUGGUAGGUAGGAUGGGGUUGGAUGGGGUAGGAUGGGGUUGGAUGGGGUUGGAUAGGAUUGGAUGGGGUUGACUGUCAUGCUCAGUGAGUUGGAGGGUUUUUUGAGGGUGACAGGACUUUCUCUCCGUCUUCUUUGGUUUGGUGUGGGUGUAGCUGGUCUCCUGAGUGGUGGGGGAUAUUGGGGGUUCAACCUGGUUGAGGAUGGGGGUGUAGCUGGUCUCCUGAGUGGUGGGGGAUAUCGGGGGUUCAACCUGGUUGAGGAUGGGGGUGUAGCUGGGCUCCUGAGUGGUGGGGGAUAUUGGGAGUUCAACCUGGUUGAGGAGGGUUGGAGGGUUGUAGUGUGGGGGUAUGGGUGUUGAUUGCCACUGUGAAAUAGAACAUAUUAAGGAAAUGGGACAGACAAGUGGGCAACAGUUUCCAAUUGGCAGAGGUGAGCAUGUACCGUAAAUUCCGGACUAUAAGCCGCAACUUUUUUUCCCAGGCUUUGAACCUCGCGGCUUAAACAAUGAAGUGGCUAAUAUAUGGAUUUUUCCCACUUUCAAUUUUUUUCUCUCCAAAAAAACACAUUCUGUGACGUGCUCAGUUUUUUGGCGGCAUGAAGCUUUCAUUAGACCAAUGAAAUUGCCGAACGGGUUAAGGUCAAACAACUUUUUUGUUUACUGUUUAGAUUAAAUCGAGCGCUCUCAAACUUCCCAUCAUUCUGAUUACGGUAGUCAUUUCGUCACCCUCAUCAUGGCAAAGACACGGAGAAAUGCAUAUGAUGCAGCUUUCAAGUUGAAGGCGAUUGAUCUGGCUGUUGGAAAAGGAAAUAGAGCUGCUGCACGGGAGCUUGGUAUUAAUGAGUCGAUGAUAAGACGUUGGAAACAGCAGCGUGAGGAAUUGACUCAGGGCAAAAAGACAACUAAAGCUUACUGCUAUUUUUUUUAUUUUUUUACAAGCCGUGUUUUGUUAAAGCCUAUUUAUUUUUGUUACAGGCCGUGUUUCGUUAAAGCCUAUUUAUUUUUGUUACAAGCCGUUUUUCGUUAAAGCCUGUGUAAAGUUCAUUUGUUUCAAUGUACCGGUAGGCACCUGCGGCUUAUAGACAUGUGCGGCUUAUUUAUGUUCAAAAUAAAAAAAACAUUUUAAUUCAGUGGGUGCGGCUUAUAUUCAGGUGCGCUUAAUAGUCCAGAAAUUCCGGUAUAUUUAAGCAAUAAGGCCCGAGGUGUGGUAUAUGGCAAUAUACCACGGCUAAGGGCUGUUCUUAUGCAUGACGCAAUGCGGAGUGCCUGGAUACAGCCCUUAACUGUGAUAUAUUGGCCAUAUACCACAAACCCCUGAGGUGCCUUAUUGCUAUUAUAAACUGGCUACCAAUGUAAUUAGAGCAGUAAAAAUAAAUGUUUUGUCAUACGGUCUGAUAUACCAAGGCAUUCAGACAAUCAGCAUUCAGGGCUGGAACCACCCAUUUUAUAAAUAAACUUCUACACAGGAUAUGUGAAAAGAAUGUGUUGAAAUGUUGCUUGCCUGAACUAACUCCUCUACUUUAAUAAUAACAAUAAUUAUACAUGAAACAUACAUAGCUUUACAAUUGUAGAAACUAACAAACAAUCAAUAAUCUAACUAAACAACAGCAGACUAAAGAAAAGGAAGAAAAACAUUAAACAAAAUUUUUUGGUGCAAACAUGCGUCCUUUGUCCUGAUCUUGUCCACAUUCUGAUGGUCUUAUCAGUCCACUGUGUCCGCAUUGUGAACAGAUAUACUGGUCCCGCCUUGUAUGCUAAUUCUUUGACAGAUAUUCUUUCAAAAUAAUACUUUUUUAUUUAUUUUAAGACAUAUAUAUUCCAUAAGUCAAUGGUGCCACCUGUCAAUGAUUUUAGAAGGCAGGAUGAUUUAAAUGGUUUUACUGUCAACUCCAGACGUGGUCAGAAAGAUCUGAUCAAAAUGCUUCUUUUAAUCGUCUACACCUGUCUGAAAAUGUGGGAAUAAUCAGACUGUGGACAAGAUCAGGACAUAUAAUGCAUGUUAGAACCAGGUAUAAACAGAGGUAAGAAGGGCCCAAGGAAAUGGUGUGAUGUGUGAGUGAGAUAGCAGGUGUUGCGCAUAUGUGUGAAACAGUGGUAGGCCAUGGUGAAGAGGUGGGUUUUUAGGCAGGACUGAAAGAUGAUGGACUUAGAGUCACAGAUGGCUGGAGGAAGGGAGUUCCAGAGCCUAGGAGCAACCCUGGACAAGGCCCUGUCACUGAAACUCUGGAGCUUGGACCUGGGUAUUUUUUAUUUAUUUUACCUUUAUUUAACUAGGCAAGUCAGUUAAGAACAAAUUCUUAUCUUCAAUGAUGGCCUAGGAACAGUGGCAGAACAACAGAUUUGUACCUUGUUCAGCUCAGGGAUUUGAUCUUGCAACCUUUCGGUUACUAGUCCAACGCUCUAACCACUAGGCUACGCUGCCGCCCCAAUGACAAGUUGGCCAACUGUGGUUGAGCGGAAAGAGCAUGAGGUCUGGUAGGAGAGAAGGUCAGAGAGGUAAGGGGUAGCAAGGUGGGGGAGAGCUUUUUUCGGCCAGGAGGAUCUUGUAAUUCAUGCGGUGGGAGACAGGGAGCCAGUGGAGUUCACAGAGGAUGGGGGUGAUAUGCUGCCAGGAUGAUUUAGUGUGGGUUAGAAGAUGGGCUGCUGAGUUUUGAACCAUUUGGAGCUUAUCGAGGGAGUCUGUUAGUGCUGGGGAGUAGUGAGUUCGGGAGAAGAAGAAAACAUGGAUGAGAGGUUCGGCCCGCAGUACAGGAGAGGGAGGGGCUGACUUUGGCGAAUUUGUCUAAGUGGAAUAAUUCGUUUUUUACAGUCUGACGGAUGUGGUGGUUGAGGGAUAGAGACUUAUUAAGGUAGACAAACAUACAUAUUUCUGUCCAAAUACCUUUCACAAUUGCCUCAUACAACCUUUGGAUUGUUGCCAUUGAGGUCUGACUCGUCAUACCACUGUGAGGACACAGUGCAGUCGACGACAAAGUGUAGCAGGGGGUACACUCCUACCUUGUGGAACCUAUGUACCUGGAAUCAUUAAUGACAAAAUAACUUCCAGAAACACAACAAAUAUCAGUCAAAUAAUGACAUUUAGAUUUACACUCUUAAAUGACACAAUGAGACAACAACAAAUAAGUGCAUAGAGGGUAUCUGUAAGGGCUGUCUUCAGGAAAGGACCAAAAUGCAGCAGAGUUAGUAUUCAUCCUUCAAUUUAAUUGGAAAGAACACUAUACAAAAACAAGGAAACUGACAGCCAACAGUCCUGUCAGGUGCAACCACACUAAACAAGAAACAAUUACCCACAAAACCCAAAGGAAAAACAUGCUCCUUAUGUGUGACUCCCAAUCAGCAGCAAUGAGCACCACCUGUGCCUGAUUGGGAGCCACACACAUGGCCCAAAACAAAGAAAUACCAAAACAUAGAAAAAGGAACAUAGAACGCCCACCCAAUGUAACACCCUGGCCUAACCAAAAUAAAGAACAAAAAACCCCUCU
rnacentral:lncRNA from 1 species